AACGCGAAGAACCUUACCUGGCAUACACAGGAAACAUUCACAGAUGGGUGCCCCGUUCCGUCGGGGUACAGGACAGCAUGUUCAUCGUCGUCGUCAUCUCGUAGAGGAGAUGUUAGUUUAAGUCCCGCAAGGGCCCAACCCUUAUGUCUCCAGCAAAGCGUUAUAGGGUGGGGACUCAUAGGAGACUGCCGGGGUCAAAUCGGAGGAAGGUGGGGAUGACGUCAAAUCAUCAUGCCCCUUAUGUCCAGGGCUUCACACAUGCUACAAUGGCCGGUACAAAGGGCUGCGAUACCGCGAGGUGGAGCGAAUCCCAAAAAACCGGUCUCAGUUCGGAUUGGGGUCUGCAACUCGACCCCAUGAAGUCGGAGUCGCUAGUAACCGCAGAUCAGCAACGCGCGAAUUCCUUUCCCGGGUCUUGUACACACCG
rnacentral:rRNA from 1 species